rnacentral:lncRNA from 1 species
CACCUCAAUGAAGAACAGAUGAGCAGUUGGAGAGACGAGGAGGAAGGAGGAGCCUGGGCAAUCCAUUCUGUAUGAACUGAUAAGGAAGCCAGAUCUUCCUCUAUAACCCCAACCACUUGCUUGAGAUUGAAGCGACUUUCCCAGGGAAGAGCACUUUUAAAAUUCUUCAUGCUCAGAUGUCGGGCUCACAUACAUGACCAUCACUGAGCCAUAAAAAAGAGAAACCACAGCCAGAUGAGACCCACAGGUGGAGAAAGCCUUUCUUCUCCCAGCUGCUGAAGGGACCCUCAACACAGCUGUCAGGACCAGAGCAUAGGACACCAUGAUGAAGAGAAAGGGAACAAAUAAGAGCAGAGAACUUAAGAUGGAGCUAGUUAACUCUAUUGCAGCGGCUCUGGUACAGGUGAGGGCCAACAGAGGACCUGGAUCACACAGGAAGUGGUCAAUGAUCCUGGAUCCACAGAAAGAUAUUUGGGAAAUAACAAUGAUAGGAAUCAGAAACCAGAGAAAAUCAAGUAUCCAGCAGCUGACCACGAGAUUGGUGCAGAGACAUUCCUUUGUUGAGAAAUGUAUGGAAAAAUGCUUAAUAUAGAACAUACAGCUUAUGAAAUCAUUAUAAAUAAAACUCCACUGUAACUCCCACUGAAGUCAAGAAAUACAAUAUCACUUGCAUCCUAGAACUUUCCCUCAUGCUCCAUCCCAAUCACUAUCCUCUACCUCUCUCUGACCCUCCAGUUUUAACAUUCUCCUUUUCUUGUGGUAAUCAACUCUUAUUUUCUUUAUUUUAAUAACAAAGUAUGCAUUCCUAAAAAAAGUAUUUAGUUUUGUUUUUGUG